UAGUCCUCGCUGAUGUCAUAAUUACGAAACGGUAUCCUUUAGUGUUGUUUUCGCUAAAGUUUGAAACGGUAUUGUUUAGUGUUACUCUACCUUCAAGGAAAGUCCAAGGAGCAGCUAUGACAAGGUUUAAAGCUAUUGAAUGGCUUGAAAGUGUAGUUAGGCCAUUGGAGAUACCAAAACAACCAUCAAACUUUUUGAUAGGUCAAAGCUUCAUGUUUCCAACAACUAAUGGUUGUUCUAUCGUAAAGACUUCUGGAGAGCUGGGAACGACUGGAAGUUGUGGUGGCUGUGUGACCGAGGUAUAAUCGAAUUGAAGUUUGUAGAAGUAAUUUUAUACAUCAGCUUGAAAAGGUACUUAACUUUCGUUGAAU